rnacentral:misc_RNA from 1 species
UUUUUUUGUUGAUUGGUCUCCAAUUAGGAUUUGAAAUCGACAUUUCACAGCCUUAUCAUUAAAACUGCCACAGUACCCUCAAUACUACUGAACUAAAGCUCGUUGAUCCAUCACUAGGAUUUAAGAAUCUGUAAAUACCAUCUUCCUUUCUACCCAGUUAACAUCGAGAAGCCAUUUCACCGGGAUAAAGUUGCAGAAUUUAGUCUUGGAUG